AUUGAACGCUGGCGGCAGGCUUAACACAUGCAAGUCGAACGAGUGGCGGACGGGUGAGUAAUGCUUGGGAAUCUAGCUUAUGGAGGGGGAUAACUACGGGAAACUGUAGCUAAUACCGCGUACCAUAGGAUGAGCCCAAGUGGGAUUAGGUAGUUGGUGAGGUAAAGGCUCACCAAGCCGACGAUCUCUAGCUGGUCUGAGAGGAUGACCGGCCACACCUGGACCGGAGACCGGCCCCAACUCCCUAGGGAGGCAGGCGGGGGGGAAUUUGCGCAAUGGGGGCAAACCCUGACGAGCCCUGCCGGGGGGAUGAAGGAGGCCUUCGGGUUUUAAAAGUCUUCCGGUGGCGAGACCGUAACCACCGGAGAAGCACCGGCUAACUCCGUGCCAGCAGCCGCGGUAAUUC
rnacentral:rRNA from 1 species